rnacentral:rRNA from 1 species
AUUGAACGCUGGCGGCAUGCUUUACACAUGCAAGUCGAACGGCAGCGCGGGCUUCGGCCUGGCGGCGAGUGGCGAACGGGUGAGUAAUAUAUCGGAACGUACCAAGAGUGGGGAGUAACGUAGCGAAGUUACGCUAAUACCGCAUACGAUCUAAGGAUGAAAGCAGGGGAUCGCAAGACCUUGUGCUCCUGGAGCGGCCGAUAUCUGAUUAGCUAGUUGGUGAGGUAAAGGACUCACCAAGGCAACGAUCAGUAGCUGGUCUGAGAGGACGACCAGCCACACUGGAACUGAGACACGGUCCAGACUCCUACGGGAGGCGAGCAGUGGGGAAGUUUUGG